rnacentral:rRNA from 1 species
UGGGGAAUAUUGCACAAUGGGCGCAAGCCUGAUGCAGCAACGCCGCGUGAGGGACGACGGCCUUCGGGUUGUAAACCUCUUUUAGUAGGGAAGAAGCGAAAGUGACGGUACCUGCAGAAAAAGCACCGGCUAACUACGUGCCAGCAGCCGCGGUAAUACGUAGGGUGCGAGCGUUGUCCGGAAUUAUUGGGCGUAAAGAGCUCGUAGGCGGUCUGUCGCGUCUGCUGUGAAAACCCGAGGCUCAACCUCGGGCCUGCAGUGGGUACGGGCAGACUAGAGUGCGGUAGGGGAGAAUGGAAUUCCUGGUGUAGCGGUGGAAUGCGCAGAUAUCAGGAGGAACACCGAUGGCGAAGGCAGUUCUCUGGGCCGUAACUGACGCUGAGGAGCGAAAAGCGUGGGGAGCGAACAGGAUUAGAUACCCUGGUAGUCCACGCCGUAAACGUUGGGCGCUAGAUGUGGGGACCAUUCCACGGUUUCCGUGUCGCAGCUAACGCAUUAAGCGCCCGCCUGGGGAGUACGGCCGCAAGGCU